ACAGCGUCGGUUGCCCGGGCGAUGCGCGGCACGCGUGCGGAGGCCCACACACCCUGAAGGCGGAGCCCCGGGUCGAGUGGCUGGCUCCCGGACCACCCAGCAGUCUGGAAGGAGGGAAUCAGGCAGAAUUUGAAGCGGCCACAUCAAAUCUACAGUCAAGAGCAGAGAAAAGUGUGUACACAUUUGCUUGGGUAACUGUGGGGAGUUGCAGGCUGGUAUCCAGUCAAGCUGAGGUCUGAACCCCAACAGUUGUAAUUCACCUUCAUGACACGACUCUCUGAGACCAGACUCCCGACCGACUGGCUCCUCCCACCUCCACACCUCCAGCCUGGUAUCAAGGCUGCUUUACAAUCAUCCUAUUCAGAGACACACAAUAAACAUUUGUAUGGUAAAGGAAA
rnacentral:lncRNA from 1 species